rnacentral:rRNA from 1 species
AAAUAUUAUAUAUUAAAGGUUUAAUUUAUUGUAGAGAGGUGGAAUUCGUAUACAGUAUAUUAUGUUUGUACUUUUUAUAUUUGACGCUUCGAUAGCUAAGUAAGAAACCGGGAUUAGAUACCCCGUUAUUUUUUCUGUAAAUUUUGAUUAUUAAAUUAGUUUGCCUGAGUAUUACGGGUUGAUGAUUUUUGUGGGCUGUAAAUAUGGCACAUAAGCUAUUCAGAUACUUAAAACUCAAAAAACUUGGCGGUGCCUUAUUUCCUCCCAGGGGAACCUGUCCUGUAAUCGAUGAUCCACGAUUUAUCUUACUUUUUUUUGAAUUUCUAUUUUAGUUAAUCAGUUUGUAUACCGUCGUCGUCAGAUUACCUUUAAGAGUAAUAAAGUUGUCGGAUAAAUUAGAGAGCUAAUUUUAAGUUGUUAGUUUUAGUUUUUGAUGUCAGAUCAAGGUGCAGCUUAUAAAAAAGUAGAGAUGGGUUACAAUAUAGAUUUUAUAUUAUGAAUACUAACUUGUAAGAGUU